rnacentral:rRNA from 1 species
UACGUAGGGGGCAAGCGUUGUCCGGAAUCAUUGGGCGUAAAGAGCGUGUAGGCGGCCAGAUAAGUCCGCUGUGAAAUCUCGAGGCUCAACUUCGAGCUGUCGGCGGAAACUGUCUGGCUAGAGUCCGGAAGAGGAGAAUGGAAUUCCUGGUGUAGCGGUGAAAUGCGCAGAUAUCAGGAGGAACACCGAUGGCGAAGGCAGCUCGCUGGGACGGUACUGACGCUAAGGCGCGAAAGCGUGGGGAGCAAACAGG